rnacentral:RNase_P_RNA from 22 species
UGAGUUGGUUAGACAAUCGCUGGUUUAUUGAAGCCCUUAAUUGUUCGCAAGAACGACCUAGCGGGACAAGUAAACGAGAGGAAAGUCCGAGCUACACAGGGCAGAGUGCCAGAUAACGUCUGGGCGGUGUGAACCGACGACCAGUGCAACAGAGAGCAAACCGCCGAUGUGCAUUAGCGCAGGUAAGGGUGAAAGGGUGCGGUAAGAGCGCACCGCGUGGGUGGCAACAUUCCACGGCACGGUAAACUCCACUCGUAGCAAGACCAAAUAGGAACUCAAUGGAUGGCCCGUCCAGAGUUCGGGUAGGUUGCUUGAGCUUGUGUGUGAAUGCAAGCCUAGAGGAAUGAUUGUCCGCGACAGAACUCGGCUUAUCGACCAACUCACUUU